rnacentral:rRNA from 1 species
CUUGGGUACUCGAGUGGCGAACGGGUGAGUAACACGUGGGUGAUCUGCCCUGCACUUCGGGAUAAGCCUGGGAAACUGGGUCUAAUACCGGAUAGGACCACAUUUUGGAUGGUGUGGUGGAAAGUUUUUCGGUGUGGGAUGAGCUCGCGGCCUAUCAGCUUGUUGGUAGGGUAAUGGCCUACCAAGGCGUCGACGGGUAGCCGGCCUGAGAGGGUGUACGGCCACAUUGGGACUGAGAUACGGCCCAG